CAAAGCAUUCAUCAUAGAAAGAAGAAGCUACCAGAAGACCCAUUAACUCAACUAUACCCUCUAGGAAGAAAAGGGCAUCUCUAGAACUGAGCACCCAUACUGCCCUCUGGUGUAGAGCUCCCAUAAAACAGGCAUGGAGAAGAAGAAAUUUCUACUCCACAACCAAGGUAGACCAAGGUAGACCAUCCUAAGAGAGGAGGAGUGAUGUACAUGAUUGGUGAGUUGGGCAAAGAGACUGAGCAUGGUGUCUCAGCAC
rnacentral:lncRNA from 12 species